AAAUACCACAGUUUUACACUAUUUAUGUCCAACGUUUGACCAUCCAAUUUAUUUGAAAUAUUUUUAUGAUUAGUAUUUUUAUUGUUAUUAUAUAUGAUAAAACAUGAAUAGUACUUUAUGUGUGAUUAUUUUUUAAUUUUUUCAUAAAUUUUUCGAAUAAGACCGAUGGUCAAACGUUGGACACGGAAACCUACAACUGCACUACGG
rfam:Oryza glaberrima chromosome 11 Oglab11_0236_1, whole genome shotgun sequence.